UGGGGAAUAUUGGACAAUGGGCGAAAGCCUGAUCCAGCCAUGCCGCGUGUGUGAAGAAGGUCUUCGGAUUGUAAAGCACUUUAAGUUGGGAGGAAGGGCAUUAACCUAAUACGUUAGUGUUUUGACGUUACCGACAGAAUAAGCACCGGCUAACUCUGUGCCAGCAGCCGCGGUAAUACAGAGGGUGCAAGCGUUAAUCGGAAUUACUGGGCGUAAAGCGCGCUUAGGUGGUUUGUUAAGUUGGAUGUGAAAUCCCCGGGCUCAACCUGGGAACUGCAUUCAAAACUGACUGACUAGAGUAUGGUAGAGGGUUGUGGAAUUUCCUGUGUAGCGGUGAAAUGCGUAGAUAUAGGAAGGAACACCAGUGGCGAAGGCGACCACCUGUACUAAUACUGACACUGAUGUGCGAAAGCGUGGGGAGCAAACA
rnacentral:rRNA from 1 species